rnacentral:misc_RNA from 1 species
UAUGUUCAUGUACUAAUUUCUAUAUAUGUUACACAUUGUAAGGGGGAUUAUUCGACUUUCAGUCUCGAUCAUGCAUUUGGAAAGUUUUGAUCCAGACUGAAGGUCGAAUAAUCUCCCUUACAAUGUGCAACAUAUAUAGAAAUUAGUACAUGUACAUAAAAGUAGAAAAACAUUGCUCUAGUUCCACUAGGAUAAAAGCUCGUUCGAUAAGGCCGCAAGGUAGGAACCCACAAAACUCAAACUGCCAUUGACUUGCAUAAACAAUGGUUA